UAGUACCACACGCAUUAGAGGUACUGCCUGCCCAGUGACACCGAUUCAACGGCCACGGUACUUUGACCGUGCAAAGGUAGCAUAAUCACUUGUUUUUUAAAUAAAGACCUGUAUGAAAGGCAAGACGAAAGCUUAACUGUCUCCUUUGCCCAGUCUAUGAAACUGAUCUCCCUGUAAAAAAGCAGGGAUAAAACCGUAAGACGAGAAGACCCUAUGGAGCUUAAGAUAAAGACAACUCCACUACGCACAACCAGUAAGACCUUGCCUUAUUAUCUUCAGUUGGGGCGACUACGGAGCACACAAACCCUCCGCGAAUCACACGCUAAGAAACACAAGCCAACGCAGCAAAACAUUUUAAACAACUGAUCCAAUACUAUUGAUCAACGAACCAAGCUACCCUAGGGAUAACAGCGCAAUCUUCUUUCAGAGUCCUUAUCACCAAGAGGGUUUACGACCUCGAUGUUGGAUCAGGGUACCCAGACAAUGCAACCGUUGUCAUAGGUUUGUUUGUUCAACAAUUAAAACCCU
rnacentral:rRNA from 1 species